CUUGGUCAUUUAKWGGAAGUAAANGUCGUAACAAGGUUUCCGUAGGUGAACCUGCGGAAGGAUCAUUACUGAGAGGUUAAAAAACCACUAGUUGGGGGAUCUCUUCCCCUCUAGUAGUUCCUCACAGUUUUGUGCAAAGUCGGGUCAACCUGGUUGGCUCUGCCUUGUGCCUUGGAUCUCUGGUUGUUGGCAUAGAGACCCUCCUUUUAGGAGACUUGUGCCACUACUAAGAUCUAGGCUGCUUGAAACGAGACGUAUGGACCCUUCUUUCAGGAGACCUAUGUCUCAAGUCAAAAGCAAGCAAGGCAAGCCUUUGGGGCUCUAGUACUAACUAUCCCCAAGGGUGUUUAUUCUUCUCGUGUAAACCAUGAUGUACGAAAAAAGUUAGUUGUUAACUUAAAAACAACUCUUGGCAAUGGAUCUCUUGGUUCUCGCAUCGAUGAAGAGCGUAGCAAAGUGCGAUAAUUAUUGCGACUUGCAUUCAUAGCGAAUCAUCGAGUUCUCGAACGCAUCUUGCGCCUAGUAGUCAAUCUACUAGGCACAGUUGUUUCAGUAUCUGCAACUACCAAUCAGUUCAACUUGGUUCUUUGAAUCUAAGCGAACUGGAAAUGGGCUUGUGUUGAUGGCAUUCAGUUGCUGUCAUGGCCUUAAAUACAUUUAGUCCUAGGCAAUUGGCUUUAGUCAUUUUGCCGGAUGUAGACUCUAGAGUGCCUGAGGAGCAACGACUUGGUUAGUGAGUUCAUAAUUCCAAGUCAAUCAGUCUUCUCUUGAACUAGGUCUUAAUCUUUACGGACUAGUGAGAGGAUCUAACUUGGGUCUUCUCUUCAACAAACUCACAUCUAGAUCUGAAAUCAACUGAGAUCACCCGCUGAACUUAAGCAUAUCAAUAAGCGGAGGA
rnacentral:rRNA from 1 species